UACGGAGGGUGCGAGCGUUAAUCGGAAUUACUGGGCGUAAAGCGUGCGUAGACGGUUUCGUAAGUCGGGUGUGAAAUCCCCGGGCUCAACCUGGGAAUUGCAUUCGAAACUGCGAGGCUAGGGUACGGAAGAGGGAAGCGGAAUUUCUGGUGUAGCGGUGAAAUGCGUAGAUAUCAGAAGGAACAUCAGUGGCGAAAGCGGCUUCCUGGUCCAGUACCGACGUUCAGGCACGAAAGCGUGGGGAGCAAACAGG
rnacentral:rRNA from 1 species